UGGGGAAUUUUGGACAAUGGGCGAAAGCCUGAUCCAGCAAUGCCGCGUGUGUGAAGAAGGCCUUCGGGUUGUAAAGCACUUUUGUCCGGAAAGAAAUCCUUGGCUCUAAUACAGUCGGGGGAUGACGGUACCGGAAGAAUAAGCACCGGCUAACUACGUGCCAGCAGCCGCGGUAAUACGUAGGGUGCAAGCGUUAAUCGGAAUUACUGGGCGUAAAGCGUGCGCAGGCGGUUUGCUAAGACCGAUGUGAAAUCCCCGGGCUCAACCUGGGAACUGCAUUGGUGACUGGCAGGCUAGAGUAUGGCAGAGGGGGGUAGAAUUCCACGUGUAGCAGUGAAAUGCGUAGAGAUGUGGAGGAAUACCGAUGGCGAAGGCAGCCCCCUGGGCCAAUACUGACGCUCAUGCACGAAAGCGUGGGGAGCAAACAGGAUUAGAUACCCUGGUAGUCCACGCCCUAAACGAUGUCAACUAGUUGUUGGGGAUUCAUUUCCUUAGUAACGUAGCUAACGCGUGAAGUUGACCGCCUGGGGAGUACGGUCGCAAGAUUAAACUCAAUGAAUUGACGGGUCAUAGCUGUUUCCU
rnacentral:rRNA from 1 species